rnacentral:rRNA from 1 species
UGCCAGCAGCCGCGGUAAUACGAAGGGGGCGAGCGUUGUUCGGAAUUACUGGGCAUAAAGCGCACGUAGGCGGAUUGGCAAGUCGGUUGUGAAAGCCCGGGGCUCAACCCCGGAAUUGCUUCCGAAACUGCCAGUCUGGAGGACAAGAGGGGAGAGUGGAACUUCUGGUGGAGCGGUGAAAUGCGUAGAUAUCAGAAGGAACACCGGUGGCGAAAGCGACUCUCUGGCUUGUUUCUGACGCUGAGGUGCGAAAGCUAGGGUAGCGAACGGGAUUAGAUA